rnacentral:rRNA from 14 species
AGUGAUAAAGGAGGUGGGAUUGCAUAGACAACCAGGAGGUUUGCCUAGAAGCAGCCAUCCUCAAAGGAGUGCGUAAUAGCUCACUGGUCGAGCGAUCCUGCGCCGAAAAUGAACGGGGCUAAGUGUUGUACCGAAGCUGCGGAUUUUUAUGGUAGGGGAGCGUUCUAUGUGGGGCGAAGCGUUAGCGUGAGCGGGCGUGGACUGCAUAGAAGUGAGAAUGUCGGCUUGAGUAGCGAAAACAUGGGUGAGAAUCCCAUGCACCGAAACCCUAAGGGUUCCUCCGGCAGGCUCGUCCGCGGAGGGUUAGUCAGGACCUAAGGCGAGGCCGAAAGGCGUAGUCGAUGGAUAACAGGUCAACAUUCCUGUACCGGUUAUGUUUUGGGAAGAGGGACGGAGAAGGCUAGCCAAGCCAGAUGUUGGUUACUGGUCCAAGCGUUCGAGGCGUUGAGAGCUGGCGAAAACAGCUUGAGCUGAGGCGUGAGUGCGAGCUUCUACGGAAGCGAAGUUGGUGACGUCAAGCUUCCAAGAAAAGCCCUAUACCCGUUAAGGCAUGAUUACCUGUACCCGAAACCGACACAGGUGGGGUGGUAGAGAAUACCGAGGGGCGCGAGGUAACUCUCUCUAAGGAACUCGGCAAAAUGACCCCGUAACUUCGGGAGAAGGGGUGCCAGCGCGAGCUGGUCGCAGUGAAUAGGCCCAGGCGACUGUUUACCAAAAACACAGGUCUCCGCUAAGUCGCAAGACGAUGUAUGGGGGCUGACGCCUGCCCAGUGCCGGAAGGUUAAAGAAGUUGGUCAGCGCAAGCGAAGCUAACGACUGAAGCCCCGGUGAACGGCGGCCGUAACUAUAACGGUCCUAAGGUAGCG